UGAGGAAUUUUCGUCAAUGGGGGAAACCCUGAACGAGCAACGCCGCGUGGAGGACGAAGACCUUCGGGUUGUAAACUCCUGUCGGACGGGACGAAAGCUAUCGAGGUCAAUACCCUUGGUAGUUGACGGUACCGUACGAGGAAGCCCCGGCUAACUUCGUGCCAGCAGCCGCGGUAAUACGAGGGGGGCAAGCGUUGUUCGGAAUUACUGGGCGUAAAGGGCGCGUAGGCGGUCUGACAAGUCUUCCGUGAAAGCCCACGGCUCAACCGUGGAACUGCGGGGGAAACUGCCAGACUUGAGUCCGGGAGGGGAGAGUGGAAUUCCCAGUGUAGCGGUGAAAUGCGCAGAUAUUGGGAGGAACACCGGAGGCGAAGGCGUCUCUCUGGACCGGUACUGACGCUGAGGCGCGAAAGCCAGGGGAGCGAACGGG
rnacentral:rRNA from 2 species